AUGAAUGAUUUUGUCUCUUGGCACUGCAAUAAGAACGAUAUUUUUUCUGUACGGUCAGCUUAGCAUGAAGAGUGGGAACACCAACAUGGACGAAAGUUGAGAAUGACAAACUCAGUUCAAUCCUAAAGUACUAGUCCUAUUUGGAGUACCAUUUGGAAAUUAAGUGUACCAGCCAAGAUAAAGAUUCAUGUGUGGAGAGCCUUACUUGGAGCCAUCCCUUGUCUGGGGUUUCUAGCAAAUAGACAUAUGAUCACGAGUUUGCAAUGUCCUAUGUGCAGUAUCGAUUGUGAGAGUAUUAAACAUGCCCUAUUCUUAUGCCCAUGAGUACAAGAUGUGUGGCGCAUCCUGGGUCUAGGACAAUUGGUGGCUGAGGUAUGUACUUCACAACGUGAGGGAGGAUCAGUACUAGCUGACAUGUUUCUGUCCAAGAGCAGACUACAGGCAACGGUGGCGGGAGUCCAACACAAUGCAUUGCCGGCAACCACUGUAUGGAGAGCUAGAAAUAAGAACACAAAGAUCAGGAGGCACGGCUGGGAGAGGCCACCUAAGGGAAUUAUAAAAUUGAACGUCGACGCGGGAUUUGAGAUGGACAACGGCUCUGGGAGUACAUGAGCUAUCCUGCGAGAUGACAUGGGAAAUUUUAUAGCUGCUUCGUGCGGGGACAUUCCCUUUGUGGAGGAUGCGGCGACGGCAGAAGCAAGGGCUCUGAGAAAUGGGUUGUUACUUGCUAAUGAUACGGGUUGCAACAAACUUUAUGUCGAAGCGGACUGCAUGGAGGUGAUUGAUGUUAUGCAAAACGGCGGGAACUUCCUCGAACAUGCGGCGGCAAUCUAUGAAUAA
rnacentral:rRNA from 1 species